rnacentral:rRNA from 1 species
GAUGAACGCUGGCGGCGUGCCUAAUACAUGCAAGUCGAGCGAACAGACGAGGAUCUUGCUCCUCUGACGUUAGCGGCGGACGGGUGAGUAACACGUGGAUAACCUACCUAUAAGACUGGGAUAACUUCGGGAAACCGGAGCUAAUACCGGAUAAUAUAUUGAACCGCAUGGUUCAAUAAUGAAAGACGGUUUUGCUGUCACUUAUAGAUGGAUCCGCGCCGCAUUAGCUAGUUGGUAAGGUAACGGCUUACCAAGGCAACGAUGCGUAGCCGACCUGAGAGGGUGAUCGGCCACACUGGAAGUGAGACGCGGUCCAGACUCCUACGGGACGCAGCAGAGGGGAAUCUUCCGCAAUGGGCGAAAGCCUGACGGAGCAACGCCGCGUGAGUGAUAAGAGGCUUCGGAUCGUAGAACUCUGUUAUUAGGGAAGAACAAAAGUGUAAGUAACUAUGAACGACUUGACGGUACCUAAUCAGAAAGCCACGGCUAACUACGUG